rnacentral:tRNA from 1 species
GCCCGUGAGGUUGAGGAAGGUAGACCGCUGGCCUCUCAAGCCAGAGGACCGGGUUCGGCCCCCGGACGGGCG